rnacentral:rRNA from 1 species
UACGGAGGGUGCGAGCGUUGUCCGGAAUCACUGGGCGUAAAGGGCGCGUAGGCGGUCCGGUAAGCGGGCGGUGAAAGUUCGAGGCUCAACCUCGAAUCGGCCGUGCGAACUGCUGGGCUUGAGCACUGUAGAGGCAGAUGGAAUUCCGGGUGUAGCGGUGGAAUGCGUAGAGAUCCGGAGGAACACCGGUGGCGAAGGCGGUCUGCUGGGCGGAAUCUGACACUGAGGUGCGAAAGCUUGGGUAGCAAACGGG